AUUGUUAGUGGCAGACGGGUGAGUAAUGCGUAGGAAUCUACCUAGUAGUACGGAAUAGCCAUUAGAAAUGGUGGGUAAUACUGUAUAAUCCCCGAGGGGGAAAGAUUUAUCGCUAUUAGAUGAGCCUACGUUAGAUUAGCUAGUUGGUGAGGUAAUGGCUUACCAAGGCUAUGAUCUAUAGCUGGUCUGAGAGGACGAUCAGCCACACUGGAACUGAGAUACGGUCCAGACUCCUACGGGAGGCAGCAGUGGGGAAUAUUGGACAAUGGGCGAAAGC
rnacentral:rRNA from 1 species